GAUGAACGCUGGCGGCGCGCUUAACACAUGCAAGUCGAGCGAAGCAUUUUAAAGGAAGUUUUCGGAUGGAAUUUAAAAUGACUUAGCGGCAGACGGGUGAGUAACGCGUGGGUAACCUGCCUCAUACAGGGGGAUAACAGUUAGAAAUGACUGCUAAUACCGCAUAAGCGCACAGUGCUGCAUAGCACAGUGUGAAAAACUCCGGUGGUAUGAGAUGGACCCGCGUCUGACUAGGUAGUUGGUGAGGUAACGGCCCACCAAGCCGGCGAUCAGUAGCCGACCUGAGAGGGUGACCGGCAACAUUGGGACUGAGACACGGCCCAAACUCCUACGGGAGGCAGCGGUGGGGAAUAUUGGACAAUGGGGGAAACCCUGAUCCAGCGACGCCGCGUGAGUGAAGAAGUAUUUCGGUAUGUAAAGCUCUAUCAGCAGGGAAGAAAAUGACGGUACCUGACUAAGAAGCCCCGGCUAACUACGUGCCAGCCGCCGCGGUAA
rnacentral:rRNA from 1 species